AUUGAACGCUGGCGGCAGGCCUAACACAUGCAAGUCGAACGAGUGGCGGACGGGUGAGUAAUGUCUGGGAAACUGCCUGAUGGAGGGGGAUAACUACUGGAAACGGUAGCUAAUACCGCAUACCAUCGGAUGUGCCCAGAUGGGAUUAGCUAGUAGGUGGGGUAACGGCUCACCUAGGCGACGAUCCCUAGCUGGUCUGAGAGGAUGACCGGCCACACGGGGACUGAGACACGGUCCAAACUCCUACGGGAGGCAGCAGUGGGGAAUAUUUCACAAUGGGCGCAAGCCUGAUGCAGCCAUGCCGCGUGUGUGAAGAAGGCCUUCGGGGUGUAAAGUUCUUUUAGCGGGGAAGCGGUACCCGCCGAAAAAGCAACGGCUAACUCCGUGCCAGCAGCCGCGGUAAUAC
rnacentral:rRNA from 1 species